rnacentral:sRNA from 1 species
GGCAGUCCAGCCGCAGGGGCCACCCGAACAGUCUCUCCUCCUCACAGAAGCCUGGAGCUGGGCAUCCAAGAAGAAGCAGCCUCAUUUGUUUUCUGGUGUCAUCGUAGGUGGCCACCUAUGGCUUUUGGGCUUCUCACCUGGGGCGGGUGGGUUCUGCACCACCCUCCCACCCUCCUUCCUCCGUGUGGACGAUAGAGCCACAUCCAGCACCACGGACAGCUCCCGGGCGAUCCCAUGGGAGUAGAAGAGGUGUGAGCAGGUUGCCCAGCUGGUUAGCGGAAAUGCCAAGAUCCAGGCUCCUGAAUUUCAGCCUGGCCCUUUCUAUCUGUCUGAUACCUCCUUUACGAGUCUCUCUGCCUGGGUUGUGUGGAGCGGACCUGCUGCUGGUUGGGGGAGUUUGCAGGUUGCCCCUAUGCAAAAAAGGACAGGAUGCAUGACUGGCAUGUAAGGUGUUCAGGAAAACCAGGAAAAGGUGGAACAGACUGCUACCUCUGUCUGAAGUGGUUUGGAGGGAAGGCCUCAGGGACAGGGCAUACCUAGCAGUAGCUGGCAAGCCCAUGGGAGAAAAGGCAAGGGGGCAACCAUCUGCCAGGGCACAGAGGCCAGGGGAUGGCCACAAGGAGUCUCCAGAGGCCAGUGGGAGUCAUGCAAACUGGAACGGGGCCUGGGAAAGGCCCUUCUGUGUGCCCAGGCCUGCCUCCCCAACACCGUGAGCCUAGAAACAAAGGGGCCAUUCUCUCUAGGAUUUGAUGCUGCCAUCUCCGGCUGGCAGUGCCAGGUGGUGGGGGCAUCAGGGGGUGUCAAUCCAUUAUCCCCCCCAACUCCUAGGUCCUCUGAGGCUGGAUGUUGGGGAGGUGGGUGUUCUAUGAUAUGUUGCCAUGGCAACCGCCCCCCCACCCCCAAAGUACAAAGAGAGGCAGCUUUCACCCCUACCCCCAGGAAGAACCUGGGUCUGGCUGGGAAUCUUCCCUUGAGAAUCCUCCUUUCUGAUGCACAAGCCAUGGCAUGCAUAAGCGUCACCCUCUUUUCAGCACUGGAAGCUGAGGGUUCUGACAGCGGCAGGCCACAUAGGCAAGGAAGCUGGUGCAUGCAGUGUCUCUGGGCAAGGUUAUGCAAGUGAGUACCAGCCCCUUAUACUUAACCCCCUCUCUUCCCAAGCUCGCCUGCCCCUCACCUACCACAGCCAAGGACAUCCCAGGCCUUCUCAGCUGAAGCGAUGGGGCCUUGACCUUCUACUCUUUCCCAGAAGUGAGGGACACCCAGCUACCUCCAGCAAACCUCCAGGCUGUGGGAACAGAGAAGAGGAGGGGGCCACUCCUGCCACCCUCCAUCUGCACCCUCCGCCAUUACUCAUUAGGCAUUCUGCCCCCUCCUUCCGCUCGUUAAGCCUGAUUUGCAUACAUUUGCAUAAUACAGUUCAUUUGCAUUCCAGGAGGCUCAUGGUAGAAGCCAGGAAAAAAGGGGAGGGGGGCUGGAGAAGAGAAAAAGGGGGAGAGAUUUUGUUUUCAUCAAAGUGUUGGGGGAGGGACUAGGGGGAGGUGGCAGGAAGAGGACAGAAAUAAAAACUUACACUACUUUCUUUCUUCCUUUCUGCCCUCCCUCCCUGAGCUGGACUCAAAUGCCAAAGAGAGAUGCCAAGGGGCCAGCUUUUCUGUCCUUUUUUGUCUUGCUUCCUCCGGCCUUGGCUCCCCAGCCUGGCCCCCCACCUUGUUGGGCCGAGGCUUCAGAAAGAAAGAGGCAGGGGUAGGAGGCAAGGCUGUGGGAACGGAAGCGGAGGGUGAGGGAGGCCGCCAUCUUAGGUAACUGGUGCCUGUAAGAUGGCUGCCCGACCAGGUGUGCACUGAAAGCCUCCCCUGGUUGGUGGACAUGGAACAGACUGAGGCCAUAAGAAGGACUUCCUGGCUGACCAGAAAUACUGUUGAAUCUUCCUGUUAAUGGAAUUAGGAAGAGAGGAUGGAGAGAGAAGGAAGGAGGGAGAGACCAGGAAUGGCGGCCCCCAGAAGAGAUGUAAGGUUGAGCACAGGAGCAGGGGUGGUAGAGAGGCCUCAGCACUGGGCUUAGUUCCCAGACUACUUAGAGGACUGUGGGUAAUAAGAAAAGUACUGGAGGAAUCAGAAUGGGGGAAUAUCAGCAUGAGGAGAGAGAGAGUAAGAUGUGGCCAGGCAGUAUCAUCUGCUAGUUUGAGGGUCUCUCUGGGGCCUGAGAAAGGUGACUGUGUACUUGAGGUGAUGCUCCACCUUCUCUCCUCAGCCCAGCACUCUGGUGAAACUGCAUCCUCUCAGAGGCCACUCACAGCCCCCUCAACAAAGACCACUGGCCCUUCCCAAGCCCAGUCCUCCUUGACCUGUAUGGAAAAUGUUAUGCUAUUUUCUCAGUCUUUUCCUUUGGCCUUCUGUUCUUCUGUUACAUCCAUGAUCAUCUGUUCUUGGUUCCAUUCAUUCAGUCCUCCGGAUGGACCAGUUCCUUAACUAGAAGUGGUCCCCAGGUUCUGCUGGUAGCUUGUUUUCUCUUCCUUCUCACUCUUCUCACUCCACUUUUAUCACUUCAGCCAUCACCUGAAGUUAUAAAUUCUUCUGUGUUUCGUUUUUCUUUUCUUUUCUCUUCUCUUUCUUUCUCUCUCUCUCUCUUUCUUCUUUCUUUUUUUUUUUUUUUUUUUUUUUUUGAGAGUCUUGCUCUCUCACCCAAGCUGGAGUGCAAUGGC